UUGUACAAACUGUCAGCCAAUAGGAGCCGCAGGACUGAGCUGAGGUCUGUCUCUCAUACUGGUGGGGAGGAUUUCCCCCCUCCUCCUCCUUCUUCUCCUUUUCUUUUUUCUCCUCCCUCUCCCUCUCUCCCUCUCUCUCUCUCUCUCUCUCUCUCUCUCUCUGGGAAACAAAUGUCUGCAGCCACUUUUUUUUUCCCCUUCCACGCGCACACUCCUCACAGCCAAUGGCAGCGAGAGAGCCACUGACAACAUCCCCAUCCCGCCGCAGCGCACAGAGGCAGCGCCGCUGACAAGUGAACGGUCUAUGCCGCUGGAUGACGACAAUUAAGGGCAGUCGUUUUAUUAUUUAUUAUUAAUAAACAUUGACGCGACACGUUACAAUAUAAGGUGUUUGGCUACAAAUAAAAAGUUUUCUGAAAAUGCUUAAAAACAACAACAACAACCAUCUGCAUCACUUGAACUUGUACUUCUAAACGAUCCAUAUGCAUGAGGGAUAUAAGAGUAUAAUGGCAACACUGACACGCAGCUUUUAGACUAGGAACGAAAUGUAAUAAGGCGGAGGUUAAACGAAGAAAUGUGUUUUAAAAGUGUCCUCUCAUUCACAGAGACAGUCAGUGCGCUGCCAUGUCCCUGCCUGCACCAAACAUGAGGGGACUGUCACCGGGAGACACCGAGGAACUGGACACACACAGAAAUAUCAAGGAGGCAGUUAUGGAUCAUAACCCCUGGAUUCCUUUUUAACCUGCAACGACCUCAGAGAAGGAGCUGCAAAACAAUCCAGGAGUUUGCCGGCAAACAAACGGAUGCAAUUAAAACACGACACACACUUGCCUUCAGAUCAUCAAUGAGGGAGGCAAAGUCAAGACUGGCAGAAAACAGACGAGGACAAAUAAAAGGCGGGAGAGAAGACUCCGCUGCCUCAAGGUUAACACUGACUCAAAGGAAACGUGUGAAGAGCUCGUCUCGGCACAAUGUGGACACGUCACCGACUGUGGAUCAUAGCAGCUGCACUCGUGAUGUUUUAAUUAAUGAUUUUUAUUUAAGUGAAUUAAAACAAUUUCCCUUUUUUUCUUCUUC